GAAAUGCGUUCGGUUGCCGUCGAUCGUUUGGUAGUCGACAUAUUAUCUUUGAAGAGAACGCUUUGUAUAUAAUAGAGAAAUGAACAUCUUUUUGCCCAUUAGCAGUUGGUAGAUAAUGGUAUUAUAUCAUGAGACGUAAUUUGAUAUGCCAGUUCUGUUAGAUGGGAACACUAUCUGCUUCGCAUGUAUAUACAAGUUUCCGGUGAACCAAAAUAAGAAGAGAAACCUUUGUUUGAGUUAAUGAAUUAAAAACUAUUUGAAAGUGAUCUGUGGAACAGUAUAAUUCAGAGAGAUGAGGACGGAAGUUACAGAGUCACAACCUUUCAAAAACUUAAAAGAAUUAUUCGAUAACGUGGGUAAUUUGAAACCAUGACCGGAAAUUGAAUAACUACGAGAUUCAACUGAUUAUGUGUACAGUGGUUUAGAAAUAAGCGCAGAAAGAACGCAGUUAGAAAAAUUGGAUAGAGAAGUACAUCCUAAAACGUUGCUUGGUCAUGAUAUGAAAGGUGGCUGCCUAGAAGACAGAUUUAUAUAUCGAUCAGAAUCUUAUGAUUCUUACCUAUUUUAUCACUGGAGUGUUAUUGACACGUUUGUGUAUUUUAGUCAUCGUUUCAUAACUGCGCCACCUUUUGGGUGGAUUAAUGUAGCACAUAAUCAUGGUGUAAAAGUUCUUGGUACUGUAAUUACGGAAAGAGAAGGUACCUGGGAUGUAAUACUUGAAUCUCAGGAAGAAGUAAGAAGAUUUGCAGAUGCACUAAUACUUGUUGCAAAAUUUUAUAAAUUCGAUUUUAUAAGUCUGGUUAUUAAAUAUUGAAAAUACCAUUAAAAAGAUUUCUUUUUAAACUGCGAUGGCAUUUACUUGAAUUAUAACUGGACGAAAUCAAAAUUGGAAAACGGUUUGGCACUUGCAAAAAAUCACAGCAGAGAUAUUCAUGAUAUUUAUGUAGGACUUGAUAUUUGGGGAAGAUGUUGUCCUGGUGGUGGUGGAUUUAAUUCAACAUAUGCUUUACCAAAAAUACGACACUAAGGACUUUCUGUCGCGCUUUUUGGUCCAGGUUGGACUCACGAAUUUUUCGGAUCUAAGACAUUCCAAGAAAUAGAAGAUCUAUUUUGGGCACAGUUGUUUCCUUAUUUAUAUGUUCAUGUACCUAUCUACGAAGAAGAAGUAUUCAAAACAUCAUUUUGCCGUGGCAGUGGUAGCUUGUAUUAUCGCUGUGGUCAGGCACUAUAUGAAAAGGAUGGGAAAAGAUUUAAACACAAACCAUUUUACAAUUUAUCCCUGCAAAAUCCACAAAUAUCAGUACCUAUACCGCACAUGAAAUUUACAUCAUCGCCUCAACUUCCAGAACCGAAAAGUGAAAACGAUCGAAAUGAGUGUUCAAAAGAACCGAUACAAUAUGUUUAUGAAACGAGGAAGAAUGUUAUUCGAGUAUUAAAAAAUGUUAUAAAUAUUGAAAAUAAAAUGCCAAUGCAUCGAACUGUCAGAAUUUGAU